rnacentral:rRNA from 1 species
CCCUUAGAUGUUCUGGGCCGCACACGCGCUACACUGAAGGAGGCAGCGUGUACUCCUGGAUCGAAAGAUUUGGGUAACCCGCGAAUCUCCUUCGUGCUAGGGAUUGAGGUUUGCAAUUAUCCUUCAUGAACGAGGAAUUCCCAGUAAGUGCAAGUCAUAAGCUUGCGCUGACUACGUCCCUGCCCUUUGUACACACCGCCCGUCGCUCCUACCGAUUGAGCGAUCCGGUGAAUUAUUUGGAGUGUCCACGCAAGCCAAUCCGUUUACGUGGGUGCGAAAUUUUGUAAACCUUAUCGCUUAGAGGAAGGAAAAGUCGUAACA